rnacentral:rRNA from 1 species
AUUGAACGCUGGCGGCAGGCCUAACACAUGCAAGUCGAGCGAGCGGCGGACGGGUGUGUAAUGUCUGUGAAACUGUCUGUUGGAGGGGGAGAACUACUGGGAAAGGUAUCUAAUACCGCAUACCAUCAGAUGUGCCCAGAUGGGAUUAGCUAGUAGGUGGGGUAACGGCUCACCUAGGCGACGAGCCCUAGCUGGUCUGAGAGGAUGACCAGCAACACUGGAACUGAGACACGGUCCAGACUCCUACGGGAGGCAGCAGUGGGGAAUAUUGCACAAUGGGCGCAAGCCUGAUGCAGCCAUGCCGCGUGUGUGAAGAAGGCCUUCGGGUUGUAAAGCACUUUCAGCGGGGAGGCGUUACCCGCAGAAGAAGCACCGGCUAACUCCGUGCCAGCAGCCGCGGUAAUAC